rnacentral:lncRNA from 1 species
UGUGUGGCUCUGCUGGCAUGGACCCCAGUGUCAGUGGUGGAGGCGGCUUGAAGUGAGAGCUGACAGCAUUUGCUGGUGGAUCAGGUGCAGGGUGAGAGGGCUGAGGGAUCCCUGAGGGCUCAGGUUCAGGCCUUCCUCGUUGGCUGGGGCUGGCGCCUCCCCAGGCAGCCCUCCCAGACUAUACCUCCUUUUCCCUUGUGUCAUCAAGUCUCCUGAACUCGAUUUUUGGGUCCCUCUCCUAGGCCCCGGCUCCGGAGGAUGCAGAAGGAGGAAGGCACCAGAGUAGCCCGGCCCUGAACGCACCACCCUCACCUCCUGCAACAGGUAGCGUCUCUGGGGUUCUUGGCACCAGAACGGUGUGUGGCAAAGGAAAUUAUGGCAUAAAUUAUGUUGCGGUCCACUGUGGAACGGAGCGGUGUGGCUGUACCAUCCAGAUGAAUGAGCUACGGCUGCACACGAUGCAGAAGAUUCAGGAAGAGAACGUUCAGGGGAAAAAAGCAAAAAGCAAAUCCAGGCAUUGUGCUGUGUGAUUCCAAUUCUGUAAAGUUCAGAUGCAUGGAAAGCUAACAAUACAGUGCUUGGACAUCCGUAGGGGUGUGGCAUGACCUAGAGGAGGACCAAGAGAGGGUAGAUAAGAAUUCAAGAUGG